rnacentral:rRNA from 1 species
UACGGAGGGUGCGAGCGUUAAUCGGAAUUACUGGGCGUAAAGGGCUCGUAGGUGGCCAACUAAGUCAUACGUGAAAUCCCUCGGCUUAACCGGGGAACUGCGCCUGAUACUGGUUGGCUUGAGUUUGGGAGAGGGACGCGGAAUUCCAGGUGUAGCGGUGAAAUGCGUAGAUAUCUGGAGGAACACCGGUGGCGAAGGCGGCGUCCUGGACCAAUACUGACACUGAGGAGCGAAAGCCAGGGGAGCAAACGGG